rnacentral:misc_RNA from 1 species
CCGAGUUUACAACUCCCAAACCCCUGUGAACAUACCUACUGUUGCCUCGGCGGAUCAGCCCGCGCCCCGUAAAAAGGGACGGCCCGCCCGAGGACCCCUAAACUCUGUUUUUAGUGGAACUUCUGAGUAAAACAAACAAAUAAAUCA